rnacentral:rRNA from 1 species
CCUACGGGAGGCAGCAGUGGGGAAUCUUGCACAAUGGGCGAAAGCCUGAUGCAGCCAUGCCGCGUGAGUGAAGAAGGCCCUAGGGUUGUAAAACUCUUUCAGCGGGGAAGAUAAUGACGGUACCCGCAGAAGAAGCCCCGGCUAACUCCGUGCCAGCAGCCGCGGUAAUACGGAGGGGGCUAGCGUUGUUCGGAAUUACUGGGCGUAAAGCGCACGUAGGCGGAUUGUUAAGUCGGGGGUGAAAGCCCGAGGCUCAACCUCGGAAUUGCCCUCGAUACUGGCAGUCUUGAGUCCGGAAGAGGUGAGUGGAAUUCCUAGUGUAGAGGUGAAAUUCGUAGAUAUUAGGAAGAACACCAGUGGCGAAGGCGGCUCACUGGUCCGGUACUGACGCUGAGGUGCGAAAGCGUGGGGAGCAAACAGGAUUAGAUACCCCGGUAGUC